rnacentral:rRNA from 1 species
UCCUACGGCAGUACGCGGUGCUUGCACCUGGUGGCGAGUGGCGAACGGGUGAGUAAUACAUCGGAACAUGUCCUGUAGUGGGGGAUAGCCCGGCGAAAGCCGGAUUAAUACCGCAUACGAUCUACGGAUGAAAGCGGGGGACCUUCGGGCCUCGCGCUAUAGGGUUGGCCGAUGGCUGAUUAGCUAGUUGGUGGGGUAAAGGCCUACCAAGGCGACGAUCAGUAGCUGGUCUGAGAGGACGACCAGCCACACUGGGACUGAGACACGGCCCAGACUCCUACGGGAGGCAGCAGUGGGGAAUUUUGGACAAUGGGCGCAAGCCUGAUCCAGCAAUGCCGCGUGUGUGAAGAAGGCCUUCGGGUUGUAAAGCACUUUUGUCCGGAAAGAAAUCCUCUGGCUCUAAUACAGCCGGGGGAUGACGGUACCGGAAGAAUAAAGCACCGGCUAACUACGUGCCAGCAGCCGCGGUAAUACGUAGGUGCGAGCGUUA